AGAGGGAGGCUCAGGGCUCAGCCUCCUGCCCACCCACCGAUGUCACAGACACACUCCUGGCCUGCCACCUCCGGUCCCUCUCCCCUCCCCAGUUGCUCCAGCUUCAAGACUAAGGAUGGUGUAUGCACUGCACCUGCACCUAUGACCCUCCCACACAGAGUCCUGUUCCCAACACCCUUCUUCCCACCUCCUGCCAGGUGGCCUCCCUUUGAUCUGCUGGGUGCCACCUGGCACUGACCCCAUGAAUGGCCAGAUGCCGGCCCCACCUCUGCCGGCUGUCCAGCUGACCGCCGUCUCUUAGCCUCUGCAUGUCUCCUCCCACUAGAGCUGCCACCGCCGCACUCAGCACCUCCUUCCUGCACGUCCUGGCUUGGGGCUGCCUCAGGACCCUGUGCAGAUACUCUCAUCCGGGGACAGACGUCCAUCAAACCCGCAACAUAGGGAAAGGACCUCACAUCACCAGGAGGCACUUUUGCCACAAACGUUUAGCGGGCAUAUCAUCACGCUGUCCAGGUCACAUGGAGCACAGAAGGUGGACAGGGAGGGAGACUGUCAGCAUGAGGCAGUCCAUCAGAUCCAGAGUAGGGAUGUUCUAAGGCAGAAUGCCCCGGACUCUUCAAAAAGUCAGCACCACAGUGAAUGGUGGGAAUUCUUCCAGAAGCAGAGGCCAAACCACAAUGUACAACCACACACUGGAUCCUUGUCAGUGGAUAAUCUGAGAAAAGUGUUGGUGUGUCUGAACAUCAGAUCACACCCUGGAAUGACUGAUUUCUAUCCGUUGUGGUUACACAGCAGUGUUCUUGUUCUAGAUUGCUGGUUCUAACAUUGGACCAAGGCUGACCCCAAGGAUGUCCGGAGACAUUCUUGGCUGUUGGCUCUGGGGGAAGGUGCCACUCUCGUCUAGUAUAGAAGCCAGGGAUGCUGUUUACUGUUUUGCAAAGAACCAUGAAGACCUGUCCAGCCAAGAUUCCAGCAUCGCUGCAAUUGAAAACUUUGUUCUAGAGGAAUGCUGAGGGCUUCUGGGGAAGUCGGCGGUGUUGCAUACACUGAUGGACAAAAAGAAUUUUGUCAAAACUUUAAUUACUGAGUGGAGCUGGAGAACGUAUGGGUAUUCAUUAUAGUGUACUUUCAACUUUCCUGUUCAUUUUAAAAAUAAAGUUGGGUAAAAAUAAAA